rnacentral:rRNA from 1 species
AUUGAACGCUGGCGGCAGGCUUAACACAUGCAAGUCGAACGAGUGGGGGACGGGAGAGUAAUGCAUGGGAAUCGGGCUUAUGGAGGGGGAUAACUAAGGGAAACUGUAGCUAAUAACGCGUACCAGAGGAUGAGCCCAAGUGGGAAUAGGUAGUUGGUGAGGUAAAGGCUCACCAAGCCGACGAUCUCUAGCUGGUCUGAGAGGAUGACCAGCCACACUGUGACUGAGACACGGCCCAGACUCCUACGGGAGGCAGCAGUGGGGAAUAUUGCGCAAUGGGGGCAACCUGAUCCAGCCAUGCCGCGUGAAUGAAGAAGGUCUUCGGAUUGUAAAGUUCUUUCGGUAGGGAGGCGUUACCUACAGAAGAAGCACCGGCUAACUCCGUGCCAGCAGCCGCGGUAAUAC